GAUGAACGCUGGCGGCGUGCCUAAUACAUGCAAGUCGAGCGAACGGACGAUAAGCUUGCUUCUCUGAUGUUAGCGGCGGACGGGUGAGUAACACGUGGAUAACCUACCUAUAAGACUGGGAUAACUUCGGGAAACCGGAGCUAAUACCGGCUAAUAUUUUGAACCGCAUGGUUCAAAAGUGAAAGACGGUCUUGCUGUCACUUAUAGAUGGAUCCGCGCUGCAUUAGCUAGUUGGUAAGGUAACGGCUUACCAAGGCAACGAUGCAUAGCCGACCUGAGAGGGUGAUCGGCCACACUGGAACUGAGACACGGUCCAGACUCCUACGGGAGGCAGCAGUAGGGAAUAUUCCGCAAUGGGCGAAAGCCUGACGGAGCAACGCCGCGUGAGUGAUGAAGGUCUUCGGAUCGUAAAACUCUGUUAUUAGGGAAGAACAUAUGUGUAAGUAACUGUGCACAUCUUGACGGUACCUAAUCAGAAAGCCACGGCUAACUACGUG
rnacentral:rRNA from 1 species